UUGUUUUUUGGGAUUAUCUUUUCUCUUGCAAUUAUGUGUUCCUAUUAAAUAGAAAAAGAGAAGAAAGUAGACUACCUUCCUGUUCAAAUUCACAUACACCUCAUAGUGAGAGAGUGAAAGUAUAUUUUUAGCCUUUUUACCUCCAAAUGCGCUUCUGGCAGUGGUGAUUCUGUUAACAUAAUUGAGAAAGAGAAGGAUGUGGCCAUGUCUUCCAUAAAUAUAAUUACUAUUCGGAAUUUUUCAUCUAUCUGACGUGGCACUUCAUUUCAAACGUGGACAAAAGCUUUUUUUGGAGUUGGGUAGAGAUCUUUAGCUGUUGUCUCUCUCAUUGUGUAAUCUUUAAUAGUAAGGGAAAAUUAUUUCUUGCCUAAGUUAACAAGAUGCUGCAGUUGUUUGUUUGGGAUUGGGGAGAGAUCAAUUGGAGUGCUACUUAUAAAAAUUCUGUUUAUAAAGCAGAAAUCUUUCUAAGGGACCUAGAAGGAUUAUUGAGCUUGGCAUUUUUUCGGCUGUUGUAUUUCAAACUUCUCAUUUUCCAAUUCAGGGAAGAAGAUUGUUAAGAUCGAGAGCAGCAGACAGAAGAAUAGCAUGGGACAUGUAAAAUCUUCCAAACGCAACAGGUCUUCUGGGUUGGAACUUAAGCUUGACGAAUUGCGAAAGGAACUUUCCUCCAUUCAUGGUGGAAUAUUUCCUCACUCUGUAUUAUCUACUCAAUAAAUUGGCAUGCUAAGCACUCAAAAGCCUAUAUCUAUGGAACAGGUAGUGCCUUAACACCUUUAUCCUUCUGUCUUAAUUAUUGACUACCUUUUCGCUUUUUUAAUUGUCUUAUUUUGUUUUGUUUGGACAAAGCGUUCCUUAGCGAUGUUCUACUUUAUGAUCAAUGGGAAGUGUAACUAAUGUGGAUAUCAAAGAAAGGAUUUUCAUUUUCUUUUCUUUUGUUUGGACAAAGCAUUCCUUAACAAUGAUCUACUUUAUGAUCGAUGGGAAGUGUAUUUAGUGUUGUAUCAUAGUUGAAAGGAACGUAUUAAACAGACAUACAUAUUGC
rnacentral:lncRNA from 1 species